GAAAUGCGAUAAUUAAUGUGAAUUGCAGAAUUCAGUGAAUCAUCGAGUCUUUGAACGCACAUUGCGCCCCCUGGUAUUCCGGGGGGCAUGCCUGUCCGAGCGUCAUUGCUGCCCUCAAGCGCGGCUUGUGUGUUGGGCUUCCGUCCCUGGCAACGGGGACGGGCCCAAAAGGCAGUGGCGGCACCAUGUCUGGUCCUCGAGCGUAUGGGGCUUUGUCACCCGCUCCCGUAGGUCCAGCUGGCAGCUAGCCUCGCAACCAAUCUUUUUAACCAGGUUGACCUCGGAUCAGGUAGGGAUACCCGCUGAACUUAAGC
rnacentral:misc_RNA from 1 species